rnacentral:misc_RNA from 1 species
GAAAUGCGAUACGCAAUGCGAAUUGCAGAACCGUGAGUCAUCAGAUCUUUGAACGCAAGUGGCGGUUGCUCCGGCAACCAUGUUUGUUUCAGUGUAUCCGGUUAAUUACAUCCAAGAACUUAAUGUGAUUGAAGCAAUUCUCUCACCAAGUAUGGGGCAGCGUCAGCUAACAACCUCAACGAAACAGUCACUAAUCGGUGAUAAUCGUAGGGAGAGUAACGCUGGUGAAUCGCAGCCUGUUAACCUUUUAUCCACUAAUGAUACCUGAAAUAAGCAAGAUUACCCGCUGAACUUAA